rnacentral:rRNA from 1 species
AGAGUUUGAUCCUGGCUCAGAACGAACGCUGGCGGCGCGCCUAAUACAUGCAAGUCGAGCGAGAAGACGUAGCAAUACGUUUGUAAAGCGGCGAACGGGUGAGGAAUACAUGGGUAACCUACCCUUGAGUGGGGAAUAACUAGCCGAAAGGUUAGCUAAUACCGCAUACGACUCUCGGUCUGCGGAUCGGGAGAGAAAGCGAUACCGUGGGUAUCGCGCUCUUGGAUGGGCUCAUGUCCUAUCAGCUUGUUGGUGAGGUAACGGCUCACCAAGGCUUCGACGGGUAGCUGGUCUGAGAGGACGAUCAGCCACACUGGCACUGCGACACGGGCCAGACUCCUACGGGAGGCAGCAGUAAGGAAUAUUGCGCAAUGGGCGACAGCCUGACGCAGCGACGCCGCGUGGGGGAUGAAGGUCUUCGGAUUGUAAACCCCUUUCGGCAGGGAAGAUGGAACGGGUAACCGUUCGGACGGUACCUGCAGAAGCAGCCACGGCUAACUUCGUGCCAGCAGCCGCGGUAAUACGAAGGUGGCAAGCGUUGU